rnacentral:rRNA from 1 species
UACGUAGGGUGCAAGCGUUGUCCGGAAUUAUUGGGCGUAAAGAGCUCGUAGGCGGUUUGUCGCGUCUGCCGUGAAAGUCCGGGGCUCAACUCCGGAUCUGCGGUGGGUACGGGCAGACUAGAGUGAUGUAGGGGAGACUGGAAUUCCUGGUGUAGCGGUGAAAUGCGCAGAUAUCAGGAGGAACACCGAUGGCGAAGGCAGGUCUCUGGGCAUAAACUGACGCUGAGGAGCGAAAGCAUGGGGAGCGAACAGG